CGCUGAGCCUCGAUGGUACCGGGGUGGACGAGUGGGCGGCUGUUUAUGUUAAAAUACCUACUUUCUGGGCGCGGACACAGCAAGGAGCCGAAAGUCGAACGUUCAGAGAUCCGAGCGAGUGGACGGAACCUAAUUGAAUAGAAAGAAAAAAAAAUGGACCCAGCUCACUUUUUGGCACUCUCUUUGAUCGUCUUGUGUCAGUUUUGGUUCGCGGAUGGCGCAGUGGGUGGCCGCGGCUUCUUUGGCAGAAGAGACCCCGAGUCCUCGGAGCUGGUGGUGGUGGACCGCGCCACCAUGGAGACCCUACAGAGCGGCCUGACCACCAUCUUCCUGCCAAUCGUUUACAUUGUGGUGUUUGUUGUGGGCUUGCCUGCCAACGCCAUGGCUGUCUGGGUGUUCCUUUUCCGCACGAAGAAGAAGCACCCGUCGUCCAUCUACAUGGCCAACCUGGCUCUGGCCGACCUGCUCUUUGUCAUCUGGGUGCCGCUCAAGAUCGCCUACCACCUGGCCGGCAACGACUGGACGUACGGCGAGGGGCUGUGCAAGGUCCUGGUGGGCUUCUUCUAUGGGAACAUGUACUGCUCUAUUUUAUUCAUCGCUUGCCUCAGCGUGCAGCGCUACUGGGUGGUGGCGCACCCGCUUUCAAAACAACGCAAGAACAACAAGGUGGCGGUGGGCGUGUGCGUGGCCAUCUGGGUUUUUAUCUGGCUCACCACCACGCCGCUCUACUUGUACCAGCACACGGCUAAGCUGCGGGAGCCCGCCAUCACCACCUGCCAUGACGUCAGCGUCAUCCUGGACAUUAAGAAGCCCUUUGAGUCCGUCCGCCUGCCUUACUUCUACUUCAUCCUGAUGGGCACUGUGGUGUUCCUGGUGCCCUGCGUCAUCAUCACGGUGGCCUACAUUCUGCUUCUGCGGACACUAGGCCGCGGAAUGGACAACAGCGCGGCGGCUAAGAACCGGCGGAGGGCGGUGCUGCUGAUCCUGCUCGUGCUGCUCACCUUCCUGGUAUGCUUCAUCCCCAGCAAUGUCAUGCUUGUGUUGCAUUACUCGCUGCUCAAGAAAGGGGUGGUGGACAACGGCUACGCUUUCUAUAUCACCACGCUGUGCCUGGCCAGCCUCAACAGCGUACUGGACCCCUUUAUCUACUACUUCGUGUCCGACGAUUUCCGCCAGCACGUCAAGAACACGCUGCUGUGCCGCAGCAGCCGGGCGGUGGAACGCAUGCGAGUGUCCUUCAGCUCCAUGAAGUACUCCAGGAAGAGCAAGUCGUACGUGUCGGACACGGGGACCACCCAGAGCAGCUCGUGCUAGCAGGCAAGUGGACGGACGGUCGGACGGACAGACGGGUACCUUUGCCAAGGAUGGACUUUUAAUGAAAUGCAAGCUGCUUUUGGUACUAGUCCGUCCGGUCAGACUGGCAGUUUCCACGAAAGACUUUCAAAGUAUUUUUAACCUCAUUUAGUGUUACGUCAUUUUGUAAAUAAAUACCGAAAAACAAAAAGCUGACCGUUCUUUUCAAUGACUGCAAGCCGCAUGGUGACAUUGCCAGACCGGUAUUCCUGAAAUGCAGCUUUACCCAUGGCCGGCCCAGUCUUGUCCUUCCUUCCCAGAUAAGAAACUGUUCAAUCGAGAAACGUAUUCUUUGCUGACCUAAAGCUUCAACGGCCACAGACUUGCUUUGCUGCACGAGUGGUAAGCUACAGUAUUAACGUCAACCCCGGACGAUCAGUUUCAAUCCCCUCAUUUUCGUCACAUCCAAUUUUACCAACAGGGUUCCUUUAGGACCGUGACGAUUUAUCAAAGUAUUCGAUAAUUUAAUGAUAAAAAUCAGUGAAGCAAAAUCUCUGCCUCAAAGUUUUGCAGGCAUCAUUUUUCCACACAGACUCAUGUUACUGCAGUCGAACGUGCAUCUGUUGACAUCAGAUGGUGCAAUGGCGGCGAGCCAGAAGGAAAGAGUCCAUUAAAGACAUGCAAAGUCACAGAUACUACAGUCGAACGCAAAGAUGUCAACCCCAAGUGGACAAAAAUAAUGCCUGCAUCUCACAUCUGCGUUAUUGUGUUGAAUACUACAAAAUAAUUUAAAAAUCUGAUUCAUUGGCGGGUUCACCACCCACACCAUCCCAGUUUUGCAAAUUGUUAUAGAAUGUCAAAAAGCAUCCAUACCCAGCCCCCCACUGAAACACCCUGCCCCCACCUUCAGGGUCCGUGAUGAAACCCUACCUGGGUCAGGCCAACUGUUUGUCAGAGAAAAGAAGAAAGUGAGGAGAUGAUUAACUUUAAACCAACAACACAAACCAAAGCCAUGCAAGAUGCACUCUUGACAGUCCACCUUUGACCUGAAGGAAAAAAA